rnacentral:rRNA from 1 species
GACGAACGCUGGCGGCGUGCUUAACACAUGCAAGUCGAACGGUGAAGCGCCUUCCUUUUUGGUGGGUGUGGAGGAGUGGCGAACGGGUGAGUAACACGUGAGUAACCUGCCCCCUUCUUCUGGAUAACCGCAUGAAAGUGUGGCUAAUACGGGAUAUUCUGGGUCUGUCGCAUGAUGGGUCUGGGAAAGAUAUUGUUUCGGUGGGGGAUGGGCUCGCGGCCUAUCAGCUUGUUGGUGGGGUGAUGGCCUACCAAGGCGGUGACGGGUAGCCGGCCUGAGAGGGUGGACGGUUAGACUGGUACUGGGACACGGCCCAGACUAGGACGGGAGGAAGCAGUGGGGAAGAUUGAAAAUUGGGAGAAAGCCUGAUGCAGCGGCGCCGCGUGAGAGAUGGAGGCCUUGGGGGAGUGAAGCUUUUUGGCCAGUGAAGGAGGCCUGCCGCGUUUGUGCGUGGGUUGACGGUAGCGGGAUAAGAAGCGCCGGCUAACUACGU